rnacentral:lncRNA from 1 species
UGCUGCUGCUUCUUCAGCUGCUGCUUCUUCAGCUGCUGCUUCUUCAGCUGCUGCUCACUCUUGGGGAGGAUUAAUGAGCCGCCGCCAGUUUCUGUACGCUCUCGGUAUAUUACCGCCCUCAAGAUGCUCAUAGGCAGUCCAAGGUGGUCACCAACCUCAUCCUCUUUAACACCACCGAUGGGAGGAGGUUUCAUUGCAACGACACAGGAGGGCCAUAUUCCAGGCUGCUGCGGAUUCCAGGAAUAUUAUGCUGGACGUGUGAGGGAAGAAGCAGAUGGACAGACUGGAAUGUGCUAUUUGUCUCAGUCGUUAAGGGAAGGAUUGGCGGCACUGUUGUUGGGUUGCUGACUCGAAUGGCGUCGGGGCUCGCUGCUUGACUCAUCUUUGGAGCGUAUCUGGAAGGGAGUUAAUUGAAGUGUUUGCUCGUAGCUGUUCAACAGUGCUGACUGUCGAACCGCAUCAGCAUCUUGAAGGACUGGUAACUUAUAGGCAGCACAGCCGUAUACUGCCUUAUACCGCCGUAUACUGACGGGGAGUAUAGGCACGAAGAAUACUUCGCUCAGUAACGCAAGAACUGCGAACUGCAAUUCCCCUCAUCAACAGGAAUUGGAAAGUCAUCAACCUAUGGGGAUCGAACACCAAUGAACCGAUGGUGUUAUGUGGUGUAGAGCAGUGAACUUCACCCAAAGCCAGCUGGUGUUCUUCACUCAAGCCAAUUGGUGUAUUUCACCCAAGCCAGCUGGUGUUCUUCACUCAAGCCAAUUGGUGUAUUUCACCCAAGCAAGUUGGUGUUCUUCACUCAAGCCAGCUGGUGUAUUUCACUCAAGCAAGUUGGUGUACUUCACUCAAGCCAGCUGGUGUACUUCACCCAAGCCAGCUGGCGUGCUACAACACCCAGCGGGUGAAUCAUGUCCCCAGCCUAACAGUAGACGACCACCCCGGUGAUUACACCAGAGCGGGAGGUUGUUCCAUGAAAGUUCAGAAGUAACUUGGCCCACACACUGUCCUGUCAAGACUUUCCAGUUCUUCUACAGCUGCACACUGUUUCAUCAAGACUACCAUGACCCUCUACAGCUGCACACUGUUCCAUCAAGACUACCAUGGCCCUCUACAGCUGCACACUGUUCCAUCAAGACUACCAUGGCCCUCUACAGCUGCACACUGUUCCAUCAAGACUACCAUGGCCCUCUACAGCUGCACACUGUUCCAUCAAGACCCCUCUACAGCUGCACACUGUUCCAUCUUGACCCUCUACAGCUGCACACUGUUCUAUCUUGACCCUCUACAGCUGCACACUGUUCCAUCAAGACCCUUUACAGCUGCACACUGUUCCAAGACCCUCUACAGCUGCAAACUGUUCCAUCAAGACCCUUUGCAACUGCACACUGUUCCAUCAAGACCCUCUACAGCUGCAAACUGUUCCAUCAAGACCCUCUACAGCUGCACACUGUUCCAUUAAGACCAUCUACAGCUGCACGCUGUUCCAAGACCCUCUGCUGCAGUUUAAAUUUUUUACCAAGAUCCUCUACAGCCACACACUGUUCCACCGAGGCCCUGUACAGCUGUACACUGUUUCACUAAGAUUCUCAACACUCCAGUUGAUCCUUGUAAACUCCCUCAAGGGCUGACAAGGUGUGAUCGUUUCCAGCUUAGUCUUAAAAGUCCUCUUCACCAGCAUCUUCUUCUUCCUUUCAUCUAAUUCCGCUGAACUACGCAAGUGACCCAGUGAGUGUGAACGCAAAGUGUUCCAGAUGAGUACUGGAAGUGACACUUGUCUGGGGGUGAGUCUUGUGAGUCGCCAUAUGCAAGAGGUCUUCACAGUAGAACCUAUUUGACGUUGUUUUGGUUCAUAACGAACUAACGGAAUCCCAUUACCUCGUUUCCUAUAUAUGCUGUGUCUUAACUUCGAUGACAAAAGACUUACGUUAGCCGUCAGGGGGUCGUUAAUGGAUGGUGUUGAGAUUGCGAAAGGAAUCUGGGAGUAAAUUCUAAUUAAAAAAGUAAGAAUUUAAAAACUCAAAAAUCAAUGAAUGAAUGUUCGUAAUAAGGCAUAUAGGCAUGGGAUUUAUUAAUCGAAGCGCAAGCAACAAGAUAAUUAACGUAUUCGAUUGUUUUGAAUACGUUAUCGAAUACAUGGAAUACGUUAAUUAGUCAAUUAACGUAAUUAAUCACGUCUGGGUCGUUAAUGGUCGACCCAGACACGGGGGGUCGAAGAUGUUCUUAAACAAGGAACUUUGCGCCUUAAACGAGCAGUAAUAUAAAGAGAAAACUUGGUUUGGUGUUGGGCUUAUCAUCCUCUGGAGGGUUAUUGAGGCCACCAGCUGGUAGAUUCUAUGGUAAACUGAUGGGGUAGAGCUCUCGUGUAGGUAUCCCUGUGCAAGCCAAGCACUAAGCCAGUGUGGUUACGUAACAUUGCCGGACGUACUUGGAGGGAAGUGGCUUGGGUCACCCCUUCUUCGGUCAUAAUUUCUCCUACCUUACAGUAAUUAGAGGGGUAAGGAGAGCGGUUGUUACCCUAUUAUCCCAUACACUAUAGCUUCGCUUCCACCCCUCCUCCCCUUCUCCCCCCCCCCACACACACACACUAUGAGAGAGGUUUGUUACUCUGUUCUCCCAUGCACCACAACAUGCCUCCCUCCCUCCCACCCCACACACACACUAUGGGAAAGAUGAGAGUUUGUUACUCCGUCUUACUAUACACUUCAACAUUACCCCGGUCCCACCACACAUUAUGGGAGAGGUGAGAGAGAGUUCUUACUCAACCAAUCCAUACACCAGAACAUUAAAACAUACUGUGGGAGAGGUGAGAGUUUGUUACUCAUUCUAUACACUUCAACAUUACUCUCACCCACCCUAUACUCUAUGGGAGAAGUGAGAGGUUUGUUAAUCCACCAUCCCAUGCACCACAAAAUUACCCUCCCCUCCUCACUCCUUCCCUCCCACCCUUCACACUAUGGGAGAGAUGGGAGUUGUGGACGUAUUUUAAUAGUAAAAUAAGUGUGCUUAUACAUUAUCGUGAAAUAUCACUCAAAAACAUUUUUUUUCUGAUGAAGAUUAGACCCGUCAUGUCCCCAGUCCCACACUUUUAUAGAGAGAGAACCUGUACUUUCUAUUCCCACGCUGAUCUGUCAAGAUCCCUCUACUCUACUCGCGCCACGCUGCUCUGUGAAAUAUGUGUACUUCUAUGUAAGAUAAUCUAUGUACAGUACAUACGCCGCCUGGCACUGUUUUUCUGCUCUACACUGCUUCAAGAAGACCCCCCCCUCUAUAACUUUCCACUACAGCACUAUUCUAUAAAGAUUCGAUGUAGUUUAAUCAGCUGUAAACUGCUUCACAAACUUUAUAUGCGCAGACAAACACACACACACACACACACACACACACACACACACACACACACACACACACACACACACACACACACACACACACACACACACACACACACACACACACACACACACACACACACA